rnacentral:rRNA from 1 species
AUUGAACGCUGGCGGCAUGCUUUACACAUGCAGGUCGAACGGCAGCACGGGGGCAACCCUGGUGGCGAGUGGCGAACGGGUGAGUAAUGUAUCGGAACGUACCCGGCAAUGGGGGAUAGCUCGGCGAAAGCCGGAUUAAUACCGCAUAUGCCCUGAGGGGGAAAGCAGGGGAUCGAAAGACCUUGCGUUGUCGGAGCGGCCGAUAUCAGAUUAGCUAGUUGGUGGGGUAAAGGCCCACCAAGGCGACGAUCUGUAGCUGGUCUGAGAGGACGACCAGCCACACUGGGACUGAGACACGGCCCAGACUCCUACGGGAGGCAGCAGUGGGGAAUUUUGGACAAUGGGGGCAACCCUGAUCCAGCCAUGCCGCGUGAGUGAAGAAGGCCUUCGGGUUGUAAAGCUCUUUCGGACGGAAAGAAAUCGCACUUGAUAAUACCUUGUGUGGAUGACGGUACCGUAAGAAGAAGCACCGGCUAACUACGUGCCAGCCGCCGCCGUAAGAC